CUAAAAAUUAUGAAAGGGAAGAGUACACAGAAUGAUAAUUUAAAGAGAGUCGGGGAAUGGUGAGAGCCCGAUAAUAGAAUUUUGUGGAAUGCAGCCCUAGAGUUUCUUAUCGAGAAAGGGGAAUUAUUUUAAUUCUCACAAUAGAGACAGACGUAGCCUCACGUUACUGAGGAUUGGAAUGAAAGUUCCAAUUGAGAGAGUGCUAAUUUUAGCACUAAUUAGGGUGGUACCGCGAAAUAUUCCUUCGUCCCUUUA
rnacentral:ncRNA from 1 species